rnacentral:rRNA from 1 species
UACGAAGGGGGCUAGCGUUGCUCGGAUUGACUGGGCGUAAAGGGCGCGUAGGCGGUUCGUACAGUCAGACGUGAAAUUCCUGGGCUCAACCUGGGGGCUGCGUUUGAUACGUGCGGACUUGAGUGCGGAAGAGGGUCGUGGAAUUCCCAGUGUAGAGGUGAAAUUCGUAGAUAUUAGGAAGAACACCGGUGGCGAAGGCGGCCCACUGGUCCGGUACUGACGCUGAGGUGCGAAAGCGUGGGGAGCAAACAGG